rnacentral:rRNA from 1 species
AACGAACGCUGGCGGCAUGCCUAACACAUGCAAGUCGAACGAGACCUUCGGGUUUAGUGGCGCACGGGUGCGUAACGCGUGGUAACCUGCCCUUAGGUUCGCAAUAACUCCCCGAAAGGGGUGCUAAUACCGGUUAAUGUCUUCGCACCAAAGAUUUGUCGCCUGUGGAUGGGCCCGCGUUGGAUUAGCUAGUUGGUGGGGUAGUGGCGUACCAUGGCGAGGAUGGGUAGCUGGUCUGAGAGGGUGAUCGGCAACACUGGGACUGAGACACGGCGCAGACUCGGACGGGAGGCAGCAGGGGGGAAGAUGGCACAAUGGGCGGAAGCGUGAUGCAGAAACGCCGGGGGCGGGAGGAGGGCCUUCGGGGUGUAAAACGCUUUCGCCGGUGACGAAGCGUGAGUGACGGUAAGGGGUAAAGAAGCACCGGCUAACUACGUG